rnacentral:rRNA from 1 species
UACGUAGGUGGCAAGCGUUGUCCGGAUUUACUGGGCGUAAAGAGCGCGCAGGCGGUCGUACAAGUCGCGUGUGAAAGCCCCGGCUCAACUGGGGAGGUCACGCGAUACUGUUCGACUCGAAGGCAGGAGAGGGAAGUGGAAUUCCCGGUGUAGUGGUGAAAUGCGUAGAUAUCGGGAGGAACACCAGUGGCGAAGGCGACUUCCUGGCCUGUUCUUGACGCUGAGGCGCGAAAGCCAGGGGAGCAAGCGGGG